rnacentral:rRNA from 1 species
AGAGUUUGAUCAUGGCUCAGAACGAACGCUGGCGGCAUGCCUAACACAUGCAAGUCGAACGAAGUCUUCGGACUUAGUGGCGCACGGGUGCGUAACGCGUGGGAAUCUGCCCUUGGGUGCCGGAAUAACUUCUCGAAAGGGAUGCUAAUACCGCAUAAUGUCGUAAGACCAAAGAUUUAUCGCCCAAGGAUGAGCCCGCGUAAGAUUAGCUAGUUGGUGGGGUAAAAGCCUACCAAGGCGACGAUCUUUAGCUGGUCUGAGAGGAUGAUCAGCCACACUGGGACUGAGACACGGCCCAGACUCCUACGGGAGGCAGCAGUGGGGAAUAUUGGACAAUGGGCGAAAGCCUGAUCCAGCAAUGCCGCGUGAGUGAUGAAGGCCCUAGGGUUGUAAAGCUCUUUUACCAGGGAUGAUAAUGACAGUACCUGGAGAAUAAGCUCCGGCUAACUCCGUG